rnacentral:tRNA from 2 species
GGCGGUGUAGCUCAGUGGUCAGAGCAGGCGGCUCAUAUCCGCCGAGUCGGGGGUUCGAGUCCCUCCACCGCCA